rnacentral:rRNA from 1 species
UGGGGAAUAUUGGACAAUGGGCGCAAGCCUGAUCCAGCCAUGCCGCGUGAGUGAUGAAGGCCCUAGGGUUGUAAAGCUCUUUCACCGGUGAAGAUAAUGACGGUAACCGGAGAAGAAGCCCCGGCUAACUUCGUGCCAGCAGCCGCGGUAAUACGAAGGGGGCUAGCGUUGUUCGGAUUUACUGGGCGUAAAGCGCACGUAGGCGGACUAUUAAGUCAGGGGUGAAAUCCCGGGGCUCAACCCCGGAACUGCCUUUGAUACUGGUAGUCUUGAGUUCGAGAGAGGUGAGUGGAAUUCCGAGUGUAGAGGUGAAAUUCGUAGAUAUUCGGGGGAACACCAGUGGCGAAGGCGGCUCACUGGCUAGAUACUGACGCUGAGGUGCGAAAGCGUGGGGAGCAAACAGG